rnacentral:rRNA from 1 species
GUCCACGCCUAACGAUGCAUAUUUGGUGUAGGUCAUUCAGUUGAUCUGUGCCGGAGCUAACGCGUUAAUAUGCCGCCUGGGAGUACAGUCGCAAGGCUGAAACUCAAAGGAAUUGACGGGGCCCGCACAAGCGGUGGAGCAUGUGGUUCAAUUCGACGCAACGCGAAGAACCUUACCUGGGCUCGAACGGCUGGUCAACGAUCGUGGAAACACGGUUACUCCGCAAGGGGUCCAGUCGAGGUGCUGCAUGGCUGUCGU